rnacentral:misc_RNA from 1 species
AAGUCGUAACAAGGUUUCCGUAGGUGAACCUGCGGAAGGAUCAUUAUCGAGUUUUGAAAGUGGGGUUUCGUAGCUGGUCGGAUUUUCAUGUCCGGCAAGUGCUCGGCCUCCGCUCAUCCACUCAACCCCUGUGCACUUUCGAGGGCGCGGUCCUCCGUCGUGGGAGCCGCUUUCCCCCCCUUCCCUUCGCGGGGAAAGGAGGGAGAGCCGGGAUCGCGCGCUCGCCCCUUCACAAACAACCAAACCAGUCUUGUCGAACGUAAAUGAUAAACAAUACAACUUUCAACAACGGAUCUCUUGGCUCUC